CUGCCGGCGACCGGCGCACGGGUGAGUAACACGUAUGCAACCUGCCCUCCGCAGGGGGAUAACCCGGAGAAAUCCGGACUAAUACCGCGUGGUACAUCUGUGGGGCAUCCCACGGGUGUUAAAAGGAAGCGAUUCCGGCGGAGGAUGGGCAUGCGGCGCAUUAGCUAGUUGGCGGGGUAACGGACCACCAAGACGACGAUGCGUAGGGGUUCUGAGAGGAAGGUCCCCCACACUGGUACUGAGACACGGCCCAAACUCCUACGGAAGGCAGCAG
rnacentral:rRNA from 1 species